GUGCAGCAGUCGCGAAAACUCCGCAAUACGCGAAAGCGUGACGGGGCCAUCCCGAGUGCCGUCCGCUGAGGAUGGCUUUUCCCUAGUGUAGAUAGCUGGGGGAAUAAGGAGAGGGCAAGUCUGGUGUCAGCCGCCGCGGUAAUACCAGCUCUUCGAGUGGUAGGGAUGUUUAUUGGGCCUGAAGCAUCCGUAGCCGGCUGGACAAGUCCUCCGUUAAAUCCAGCGAUUCAAUCGUUGGACUGCGGUAGAUACUGUUAGGCUAGGGGGCGGGAGAAGCCGACGGUAUUUCCGGGGUAGGGGUAAAAUCCUAUAAUCCCGGGAAGACACCCAUGG
rnacentral:rRNA from 1 species